AUUGAACGCUGGAGGCAUGCUUUACACAUGCAAGUCGAACGGUAACAGGGUGCUUGCGCCGCUGACGAGUGGCGAACGGGUGAGUAAUGCGUCGGAACGUGCCGAGUAGUGGGGGGUAACGCAGCGAAAGUUGUGCUAAUACCGCAUACGUACUGAGGUAGAAAGUGGGGGACCUUCGGGCCUCACGCUAUUCGAGCGGCCGACGUCUGAUUAGCUAGUAGGUGAGGUAAAGGCUCACCUAGGCGACGAUCAGUAGCGGGUCUGAGAGGAUGAUCCGCCACACUGGGACUGAGACACGGCCCAGACUCCUACGGGGGGCAGCAGUGGGGAAUUUUGGACAAUGGGCGAAAGCCUGAUCCAGCCAUGCCGCGUGUCUGAAGAAGGCCUUCGGGUUGUAAAGGACUUUUGUCAGGGAGGAAAUCCCUAGUGCUAAUAACACUGGGGGAUGACAGUACCUGAAGAAUAAGCACCGGCUAACUACGUGCCAGCAGCCGCGGUAA
rnacentral:rRNA from 1 species